GGAUGGGUACAACUCAGUGGUAGAGUGCAUGCUUAGCAUGCACAAGGUCCUGGGUUCAACCCCCAGUACCUCCA
rfam:Camelus ferus unplaced genomic scaffold scaffold644, whole genome shotgun sequence.